CAGCACCUCAAGUGGUCAGGAUGAUUAUUGGGCCUAAAGCAUCCGUAGCCGGCGCUGUAAGUUUUCGGUUAAAUCUGUGCGCUCAACGUACAGGCUGCCGGGAAUACUGCAGCGCUAGGGAGUGGGAGAGGUAGACGGUACUCGGUAGGAAGGGGUAAAAUCCUUUGAUCUAUUGAUGACCACCUGUGGCGAAGGCGGUCUACCAGAACACGUCCGACGGUGAGGGAUGAAAGCUGGGGGAGCAAACCGGAUUAGAGACCCGAGUAGUCC
rnacentral:rRNA from 1 species